AGCACCACAACAGGUGGAGCCUGCGGUUUAAUCGGACUCAACGCCGGGAAACUCACCAGAUAAGACAGCUGAAUGAUAGUCGGGCUGAAGACUCUACUUGACUAGCUGAGAGGAGGUGCAUGGCCGUCGUCAGUUCGUACUGUGAAGCAUCCUGUUAAGUCAGGCAACGAGCGAGACCCACGCCAACAGUUGCCAGCUCGUCCUCCGGGAUGGUGGGGACACUGUUGGGACCGCCUCUGCUAAAGAGGAGGAAGGAAUGGGCAACGGUAGGUCAGCAUGCCCCGAACUAUCUGGGCUACACGCGGGCUACAAUGGGUGGGACAAUGGGUAUCGACACCGAAAGGUGAAGGCAAUCUCCUAAACCCAUCCGUAGUUCGGAUUGUGGGCUGCAACUCGCCCACAUGAAGCUGGAAUCUGUAGUAAUCGUGUCUCAAAAUGGCACGGUGAAUAUGUCCCUGCUCCUU
rnacentral:rRNA from 1 species